rnacentral:rRNA from 1 species
UACGUAGGGUGCGAGCGUUAAUCGGAAUUACUGGGCGUAAAGCGUGCGCAGGCGGUUUUUUAAGCCAGAUGUGAAAGCCCCGGGCUCAACCUGGGAAUGGCAUUUGGGACUGCAAGGCUGGAGUUUGGCAGAGGAGACUGGAAUUCCCGGUGUAGCAGUGAAAUGCGCAGAUAUCAGGAGGAACACCGGUGGCGAAGGCAGGUCUCUGGGCCACUACUGACGCUGAGAAGCGAAAGCGUGGGGAGCGAACAGG